rnacentral:rRNA from 1 species
AUUGAACGCCGGCGGCAGGCCUAACACAUGCAAGUCGGACGGUAGCACAGAGGAGCUUGCUCCUCGGGUGACGAGUGGCGUACGGUUGAGUAAUGUCUGGGGAUCUGCCCGAUAGAGGGGGAUAACCACUGGAAACGGUGGCUAAUACCGCAUAACGUCGCAAGACCAAAGAGGGGGACCUUCGGGCCUCUCACUAUCGGAUGAACCCAGAUGGGAUUAGCUAGUAGGCGGGGUAACGGCCCACCUAGGCGACGAUCCCUAGCUGGUCUGAGAGGAUGACCAGCCACACUGGAACUGAGACACGGUCCAGACUCCUACGGGAGGCAGCAGUGGGGAAUAUUGCACAAUGGGCGCAAGCCUGAUGCAGCCAUGCCGCGUGUAUGAAGAAGGCCUUCGGGUUGUAAAGUACUUUCAGCGGGGGGGAAGGCGAUGUGGUUAAUAACCGCAUUGAUUGACGUUACCCGCAGAAGAAGCACCGGCUAACUCCGUGCCAGCCGCCGCGGUAA